GAUCGUCACAGUUGAGGGGCCAACUGGGUGACGGCCGCUGGAUCCACGCCGCCUGAACUGGUGGCGGCCGCAGCAUCCGCGCAGUCGGGACUGGGUCGGGGGUCGGCCGUGCGUCUUGC